CUUAACCAGUGCUGGUUUUGCUUCAGUUAGCACAAGACAGCUGUCGGGGAUGGUGUCCUCAUCUCAGACUGUUGUCCACAAAGGAUGGAUGCCCACAAACCAGCCAGCCAACAGCAAACUGCCCUUGGUGAGGCUCUGCAGCAGGCACAGAGCAGUGCUGUGUGCUGGCUGCUAUCUGCAGAGCAGGGAGACCCAGGGCAAAAUGGAAGGGUUCCAGGCUCUGAGUUAAUAACUUCAGGGACUGAGCUCUGCUACUGAGGUACUCCGUCCCUGCUCCUCCCAGAGUUGUUCCUUGUACUUUAAGGGCAGUCUGGAAGAUAAACUACACUUGUCUUUGCCCAAAUCCAGAAGAAGAAUAGGACCAACAAUUUCUGCUGCUUUCUAGAAUAUGUAAAUAUCUAGAAGUAAGCAAGUCUCUGGCUGGGUACAUAGCAGGAAAAUACUGCAUGUUGCAACAGCACCAUUUUUAAUUUACAUUUAGAAAGCUUAUUUCUGUUAAGUCUAAUCCACCUACAAUGAUCUAAUAGGUAACAAGUGGGAUUACAGAACUGAAACCUCCACGGCGAGGCAGUACCUCUGCCUGCAGGCAGCUGCCAAAGGACAGCACAGCACAGCCCUGAGCAGCCCUGGUUCCUCAGCAAAAACAGACAGAGCUUUUUCUUUCUUAAUUAACAGAUCCGUGUAUUUGUCUGUAGUGCUGAACCCAAAAACAGCCUCUUCCCCUUCAGGUCACUUUCAGUUUUAUUCCUUGUGCUGUUAGCAUCUUUGUGUCAGUCCCUCUUUCCCCACUGCACACGCUCUGUCUGACAGCCAUUUCCCUGCAGGACUUCAGGUAAGCUGCCUUUCCUCCCUUGCAGCCCUCUUUUAGUCUCAUUUCUGGCUCUGAAAGCAGGACUAAAGCAAAUGCACUACUCUUGGGGAAAAUAAAAACCUGUGCAGCAGGGGAGAUGUGCUGCUGGUUGCGAGGAGCAAAGAGAUCCAUGCAAUCAAGGGAACACAGCUCUGGAAGAUGCUGCCUGUGUUUCCUGCUGCUGAACAAUUUGGGAAGGGGUUUCAAUAUCCCAUAGCAACCUAAUGAUCCCAAAGCCAACAGGGAUUUUGGCACGGCUACCUCCUGUUAACGAACUGUUUACAAUGCUUUAAAACAAAGAAUUAUACAGCCUGUCAAUGAAAAAAUGCCUCUCUGAUUAAAGUCAUCUCGAAGAAGUGGUGGAAGUGAACUGCAAUUAACCUCUUUCCUUCUGUUGUCCAUCAUUCUGUCAGCACGUAGCGAUGUUAUUGUGCUGCAGAGAUGGGCUGUGGAUGUUCCCUCUGGAGCACACGCUCAGCUGUCAGCGGUGUGGGCCGUCUCAGCAUCCAUCUCCUGAAGAACACUUCCAUCCCAAUGGCCCAUUGUUUUCUCUAACUCAGUUUUCACUCUGAGCUGACAGUCCAAAAUUGCACUCCGUAUGCUCUGCAGGUUCCACUGCGUUCUCAGGAGAGCAUCAUCCAACGUGAAGACACCAUCACGUGUUCUUCGCACCUGUGUGCACACAGCAGAUGAUUUCAGCUCCAGACCAAUCUCGUGGACUACCUUCCGGAGCAGGGCUUUGUGAUUCGUCCCUUGGAUGACGGCGAGGAUCCGUUCCAGCUUCUCCCUCGUGAUAUGGUCUGCAAACAUCAAGGUGGAAACCAAGGCUCAGUAAUCCAUCUGGAACCUGGAAGGGCAGCAGGCCGAGUGGUGCCAUCGGUGUCAGCAGCCCCCAGCAGGUCGCAUCCAAAUGCUCCAUAGGAGCCACAGCGUGGAGUCAGCCCUGCUGGCUGUGCCGUGUUCAUCAGCAGCGCAGUGCUGCACUACAAAGGGACAUUUAUCCUGAACUGACUUCCAGAUGUUGGCUCCAGUUGCUCAUACAAGUGGCUGAAGGACUGAACUCCACAAAGGCUUCUCAGCUUCUCUACCUCCAGAUGUGAUGUGAGCAGAUCUGAGUCCCACCCACAGCAGCAGCAGCCGCCGGGAUCAGAGCUCAGCCUGGGUCAGUGUGUGCUGUACUCAGCACAGGUGGACUGAAGCACCACAACUGCAUGUGGGCAACGUGCAUAAAGAGAGGCCAGGAAGCAUUUGGAGCAUCGCCUCUUAUUGCAGUGCCUCCCACCUGGCCGAACGCCC
rnacentral:lncRNA from 1 species